ACUCAAAGGAAUAGACGGGGACCCGCACAAGCAGCGGAGCAUGUGGUUUAAUUCGAAGCAACGCGAAGAACCUUACCAGGUCUUGACAUCCCGAUGCCAGGUGUAGAGAUACACCGUCUCUUCGGAGCAUUGGAGACAGGUGGUGCAUGGUUGUCGUCAGCUCGUGUCGUGAGAUGUUGGGUUAAGUCCCGCAACGAGCGCAACCCCUAUUUUUAGUUGCCAUUACGUAGAGGUGGGCACUCUAAAGAGACUGCCGUGGAUAACACGGAGGAAGGUGGGGACGACGUCAAAUCAUCAUGCCCCUUAUGGCCUGGGCUACACACGUGCUACAAUGGCCGGAAACAAAGGGCAGCGAAGCCGUAAGGUGGAGCGAAUCUCAUAAACCCGGUCUCAGUUCGGAUUGUGGGCUGCAACUCGCCCACAUGAAGUCGGAGUUGCUAGUAAUCGCGAAUCAGCACGUCGCGGUGAAUGCGUUCCCGGGUCUUGUACACACCGCCCGU
rnacentral:rRNA from 1 species